rfam:Spinacia oleracea cultivar SynViroflay scaffold5891.con0009.1, whole genome shotgun sequence.
AUGCAUGUUGCACCCUGGGCUUCUCUGAACAAUAAAAGUUGACGAUGUUAAGUCCCAAUGCUCGUGCUAUAUACAAUUUGCCCUUCGUGUUGCAGUUCGGCUGACUCUAAACGGCUGAUUUGUGUCUUAAUUAAUGGCUAAAUCC